CAGCAGCCGCGGGAAAACGUAUGUCCCGAGCGUUGUCCGGAUUUAUUGGGCGUAAAGCGAGCGCAGGCGGUUAGAUAAGACUGAAGUGAAAGGCAGUGGCUCAACCAUUGUAGGCUUUGGAAACUGUUUAACUUGAGUGCAGAAGGGGAGAGUGGAAUUCCAUGUGUAGCGGUGAAAUGCGUAGAUAUAUGGAGGAACACCGGUGGCGAAAGCGGCUCUCUGGUCUGUAACUGACGCUGAGGCUCGAAAGCGUGGGGAGCGAACAGGAUUAGAUACCCGCGUAGUCCCUGUCUCUUAUACA
rnacentral:rRNA from 1 species